UACGUAGGGGGCUAGCGUUGUCCGGAUUUAUUGGGCGUAAAGAGCGUGUAGGCGGCCAGGUAGGUCUGGUGUGAAAACUCGAGGCUUAACCUCGAGAUGUCAUCGGAAACCAUCUGGCUAGAGUCCGGAAGAGGAGAGUGGAAUUCCUGGUGUAGCGGUGAAAUGCGCAGAUAUCGUAAGGAAGACCAGUGGCGAAGGCGGGUCUCUGGACAGUUCCUGACGCUGAGGCACGAAGUCCAAGGGAGCAAACGGG
rnacentral:rRNA from 1 species